UCCGGGGCCCAGGGCUGGAGGGUGUCAGUGCGCAGAGCGGGGACAGCAGGCGGCCUGUGUGGAGCGCUCUGCCAGACGCCAAUUAGCCUGGUAUGUGGGACCCGGCCUCCGCCGGCCUGGUGACAGGACUGGGGGACCGAGCCCAGACCCCUCUCUGCCCUCACAGACAACUCUGCAGUCCCACGACCCAGGGAUGUGGGGUCAGAGGCACUCAGCCCCUCUCAGCCUCUGCCUUGGGGGAGGGGUUUGGCCCUUCGGUCCAGAUGCUGGGAUCUCAACCCAGCCUGCCGCCGCCUAUCGGGGGACUGGCCAGGUCACAGUCCCUAGGGACUGGGUGAGUUUGGAGGGGUCUGAGGUCUCUGUUGGCUCUGAGACUCCGUGUCUCUGGCUGCAGGUGGCUUCCGGAAACUCCAGGUACACAGAGAUGUGUGUCGAUGAAGAGUCACCCAGACCCCCUUCCUUGGUGAGGUGGGAGGACAGCGUGCUGGCCACACCAUACCUCAAGGCCCAGGGCACCUGAAGCUCUCUGCUCUGGUGGUGGAGGGGACAUUCAGCAGCUUGCUCCUGGGGCACCAGUGCUGUAGAUGCUGACCCACAGAAGUUUCUGAGAAAAGGGUCUGGGGUCUGAGGUCUUGGCGUGCAGGAUCAUGCACCCUAUCCGCACGGAGGGACUGGAGCUGUAAGCAUCGUGCCCAGGGCGUGCCAAGCAACACUGCGUUCUCACAUGAGCAUGACCCUGGAGCCCAGCGUGGGCAGGGCCCGGAGACCCCCUUGGGUGGGGCUACAGCACCUUCCUGGGUGGGCUGGGGCUGCUGGGCUGGGAGUGCCCAUGUCAUUCCCCGGUCUUUGCGGGAGCACCUGCUGGUGGGAGAGGCAUGAGGCUUACUAGGGCUGAUGUGGGGGGAUCUGGAGGUGCACUUACCAGGGCCCUCCAGGGCCAGGGUGCUGUGGGCCCACUGUGGGCCCAGCCCUGCCUGGGGUGACCAGUCUGUGAGAGGACACGUUGGCCUGGCUGAGAUUGGGUCCCGCUGCUGCCUUGGUAGAGUCUGCUGGGGCCUUCACCCCGCCCUGUCUAGGGGGACAGAGGGGCCUUCGCUGCCGUCCUGGGAGGGGUGGCAGCCACAUGGCAGACUUUGCAGGGGCCGAGACUGGCACUGUUACCGCUGUCCCCAGCCUUUCCAGGGUGGAGGGCUGGGGACAGCUCAGGCCACGCUGCCCACCCACGCCUGGUUGCUUGCUGCCUGAUGGUCCCUGAGGUAGGGCUGCUAGACCCAGCGGCGGUGAGUCCCCUUCUCCCUAGUACUUCAGGAAGGGGACUCGUCUGGCCUUGUGGUGUCCGAGUGGUUGGGGCUGACCGGCGGCCAGGGCCUCAGCCCUGCCAGGGAGUCCCCCUUCACCCGCCCCCUGGAGCCUGAGGGGUGGACAGCCUGGCUUCCCUGGCAUUGGCUGGCCCCUCAGUGAGCUCUGUGACACCCAUUUCCCAAGCGGGCUGCCUCCUGCUGUGUCCAGAGGGGAGGAUGUUCCUCUGCCUGCAGGGGCCGCCCUGGGCUUUGGGCAGGGUCCAGGAAUUGUCCGGUCCCUGCUGCCUGGCUUCCCUGCAGAUCUGAGGACAGAAGCCAGCUCUGGCUGGGCAGGACUGGCCUUGCUGUCAGGCCGGCACAGGACAUCCUAGGUUGCCCCUUCCUCACGGGGCCUCGGAGGCAUGCAGGUCCUGUCCGGGUUCUUCUGCCCCCUGGGCUUGCUCAUGGGUGGGGCAUUGGCUGAACACCACUGUGUCCUGCUGCUGUUCCGGUCCAGUGCUGACCAGCACGGCCUGCCCUGCUCCCCCCGGUCAGCCUGCUGCCGCCUCGCUGCCUUUGGUGCCUGUCCUGGGUCAGGGAUGGCUUGGCAGCAUGCCCCUGGCGCUCAGUGCCCGGUCCUGGGCCUGGCAGGCGCCACAGAGAGGCUUGUGGGGUUGUGGAGUGGGCUUUGGUGGGCCCAGGGCCUGGGGAUGCUGCAGCUCCUUGACCCUGCGGCCGGGUGGGAAAGGCCAGUGCAGAGUGGGCCGGGAGAGGUUCCAGCGCCUUGGCUGGCCGCAUGGGGCACACACCCAACCUCACUACCAGCCUGUCCUGUCUUACGGUGACACAACCCAGCCCCGAGGUUAGACGACCUCCCUGCCUGGCCUCGGUGCCACCUGGAGGCCACACCCCCGGCUCUGGGCAGAUCCCAGUGGGACUUCUUACGCCCUCUGCACCAUCAUUACAGUGAAGAUCAGUCCUAGAUGAGCUAAGAGACCUGUGACAGGUCCACCCCAUGGGGGCACUCGCCUGGCUCCCUGGCUCUGCAGAUGUCUUUUCCUCAGUCACCAGGUCCCCACACUCCCCUGACCCUUAAUUAACUCUCGGGGGAGCUGGGCUCCUGUUUCCUUCCUGUCCUGGGCUGGGGUGGUUCUGCAGCUUGGGCCAAGUGUCUCCCGAGCGGGGCCCCAGGAGGGACCGGGUGGGCGGGAGCUGCUGUGCCCACACACGUGUGCUUCCUGUCUGCACACAGGACAGCCCUGCACUGCUGCACCCACAGGCCUUGACCUGCCCGUGCGCACGCUCGGAGGUGCCUGUAUACACACCCCUUGCCGGCUUGCACACAUGCGCCCACGCACGCGCCCACGCACGCACACGCGCAGGAAGAUGCACAGCUGGACCCCCCAGCGGCUUUGCCCUGGGCUGGCAUGGGCGGCCCUGGGCACCCUGCCUCCAGCUGCCACCCCUCCCAGGCAGCUGGGAGCCUGCUUUUGCAAUUCUUGCAUUUAUAUCAUGGUCCUUUAUAUCGACAGAAGCUUUCAAAACACUUUAGGCUUGUUUACCGAGCUGUGCAAGAACAUUUUGUCUCCUCUCCAACUCAGCCUUCCAGAGCCAUCAGGAACGUGCCCGUCCCUGAGCUGGCCAGCAGCAGCCCCCAGCUUCUUAAAGGGCCAUCCUCAGAGAGGAUGGUCGGGGCUUGGACAGAGGCCGGCUGGCCAGCUCUUGCUGCUGACCCUGGACACAGGGUCCCUGGUGACAUGAAGUAUUGCAGGUGGAGCCUGGGAACCAGCCCGCGGGGACUCAGGCACUGCCUUCUGACUGGCAGGCUGAGAAGUGGCCGGGCCCAUCGUCCUUACCCUGGACCCUAGCUUUGGUGGGAUGCCCUGCUGGGCACGCCCCUCUCCUCCAUGCCCCGAGACAAGGUCACAAUAAAGGGAACAGUGAGACUUCCUGUUCCCAUCUGUUGAGGUUCUGGGCUGUGCCCUGCACGGUGUCUCCAUUAGGUAGAGGCUGGCAGCCUCCCCCAGGGAGCACAAGCCCCGUUGGCCAGGGCCAGGGUCAGCGGUGUUCCCUGUAGCCAGGCUUCCAGAGGAGGUGGUGGAGUGAGCAUCCCACAGGGGAUGGGCUGGCCACUGGCCCUCGGUGCUGAGGUCUCCGUGUUUGCUGGAAGCACAGAACUGCCCCACGGAGUGGGGCAGCCCCCUUGACACCCAGCCCCCCCACUUCCCCUGUGGCUGGAAAUUUGGAGAAGUACCCUUGGUCUUGGUUCCUUCCCUGGCUUCUUCCUGUAGCCUCUUCCUCUGCCGGUGACCCCCAGCCUCCUCCAAAUUCCAGCCUUCACAGGGACUGUUCUUUCAUGUCCAGCACUCCAUCAGCAAGGCCACUGAGUGCCCCCUGCCUGUCUUUCACCCCUCCACUUGCCCGGCCCAGGCCCUGCUGCCUCCUGAGCUCAUGGCCUCUGUGGGCACCAGCUGGGGGUCUUGGAGGGCACUGCUGCACCAUGCACAACUUCAAGCACAUGAAGAUCAAGUCCACCUGAGUCCUGCAAAGCUGGGACCUGUGCUAGGACACACACAUGCUGGGGAGAUGAGAAAGUAAAGGUAAUCCCAGAGGCAAGGUCGAAUACAGAAGCAAGCAGAGUGGAGUGGCCACAGAGCUGGCCUUGGGUGCAGCAUUGAGCUUCCUAGCAGCCAGGACAAUAAGGGAAAUGUGACUGAAGAGGCAUUCUCCCUGUUUAGAAAGGAAGUCUUUUGACAUUAUUUGUCACAGGGUUCUUAUUCCAGGCCCAGAAGGGAAUGCAUUCUGGGAAAGAUGCAGCCCAGACUCCUCCCAGGGUUCUCAUUUAAGUGACAGUUUCUGGGACCUGCUGAGGGCUCAAGCUGGGAGUGGCUGCAUUUCUGCAGAGGAGGGGACCCUGAGGCCACCAAGGUGAUGCUCAGGAGAGUGGGGGUCAGAGGACAGGAUACAUGGAGGCAGAUGAACGUGUGAGCAGACCACAGCAGUCACUGUGGGCACUGGCCCUCCAGAGGCUACUGUAGGGACCUGGGUCCCUUAUGGGAGGCGUGUGGGAGGGCAGCUGGCAGUGCAGUGGCCCAGCCUGGACAUGCAGCUGGCCUCUGGGCGGCUUGGGUAAGGCCCAUCCAUGGGCCACUGGAUCUCUGACCCCUGCCCUGCUCUACAAAUGGGAGGGUGUUCCCUUCUCACUGGACCAGCUCGGGCCUGGGGAACUGGGCACAGCUUGCCCAGUGGCCUCCCUCCACCCCUCACCCGCCAUCAACUCUCAGAGGCUUGGUGCUGCUCCUUGGAGGAGACUGGCCCUGCCAGUCACGACACAAAAAGCAAGCUGGCAGUGUGCGGCAGGGACCAGGGACGGCUGUGGACUGAGGGCCCAGGCGCUAGGCAGGACUGGGCACCAAACCAGGGGUGGGGGCCCAGGGCCCUCCCUUGCCCCACAGGAAGGGCCAGGAGCCUCCCCUAGCAGCUGGAAAGGGGCUCGGACCCUUCCCCCACCUGCUGUGGCUGCAGGGACAAAGGGCUGAGCCUUGUCUCCUCGGAGGAGGCCCCACCCCAGGCCUCGGGACCCACGGCCUCUCCUCCCUUCCCUUCCACCAGCCCUUUCAGAAAACCCGGGUCCCCCUGAGACCCCCAGUGGGUGGCCUCUCCUCUUCACAGCUGAGCAGCCUGUGGACCCACACGGGACAGUGCGGCGCAGCCCCCACCCCAGCAGGCAGCCUGGACCGGCCAGGGCCAGCCCCUCCUGUACCCCGGGUUUGGUAGGACGCUUCCCCAGCUGCGGCUGGAGACUCUGUCUGCCUGACUGAGGGCCCUGGCCCCGGAGACCCUGAGGUCUGUGCUUGUGUGCUGUGUGCUUGCUGACUUGGUUCCUGUCCCCCUACCAGACCAUCUCUGGGCUCCUCCUGCCCCUCUGGAGUGCCCAGCUCCGCUGCUCCUGUCCUGGAGCAGGGGCUGCCCAGCCGGGCCAGGCCCAGUCACUGCCUGCGCUCUGAGGCUCAGCAGCAGAGGCUGCUCGGGGGCGGGGCCUGCCCAUGCCCACAGAGCCCGCAGCACUGGGCCCGGCCUGGCAGUGGCCGAGAGCUCCAGCAGAGUGAGGACAAGGGUCAGUCUGUCGGCUGGUUGGCAGACGUGGGGCCCUGGGGAAGUGGCCACCUCCUGUGUUGGUUUUCUCAUUGGAGAGGGGAACAGAGGCUUUCUGGGUAGCGAGCGUCCAUGAUGGGGCUCCACUGACCUGGCCACUUUCCUGCUGGGCAGCCAGGCAACCGCUCUCCCUCCAGGGGCAGGGCAGGAGAGGGAGGGGAUAGCGCUCAGAGUGCACUUCUCUUCUGUCCCCGUCACUGGGGUUCUGAGUCCAGGGCCAGCCUGGGAGGGGCGGGCAGUGCUGCCCGGCCCAGGGUUCACACCAGCACAGCUGGGUGUCCCCCUGCUGCCAGGUGGCAGGGUCCUCCCUUUCUGAGCGGUCAGGGCCUUCUCUCAGGUGCAGAGCUCUGGAGGGGAGGCUGAGCUCCAGAGCCAGCCUUUGGGUCCCUUCGGGGCCUCCUGGCUCAUCCGCUCUCUGUGCUCCUCAGGGAGAGGCACCCUGCUGGGCGGGGGCUGCUCUGGUCACUGGUGAGUGGCUCUGUCCCCUCUGGCCUGGCUCAGCCUGUGAAAGUGCAGGGUAGGGGUGGCCAGAGGGACAGCUGGGAGGGAGCAAACACUGACCCCUGCAUGGACCCCCGCUCAUGACCUUCAGCUCCUAGUGGUCACUCACCCUUGGCUUCCCCUCUUCUAGCCCUUCCCCACCCAGCACCAGAGGACAGGAGGACUGUUCUAGAGCAGAUCUGGCCGCCUCCUUCAGGGCUGUGUGGUUCUCCUUCUCUCCUGUCAUGUGGCGGCGUCUGGAGGCCUCGAGGGCCCCGGCAGUGCCAAUGUCCUCCUCACUCCUGCCCAAGGAGCUCCCCUGUGCACCCUGGACCCCCCCACUGGCACCAUGACAUGGAAGCCCUGUCCCUGGCUCCCCUGUUCCUGACGUAGGGCUGGCCUGUCCCUCCUCCCUAAGGCUGGCCGCCUCUGGCCUCCUGGUGCCGAGGGAUUCUGCUUUCACUCCUUGCCUUGUGUAUGGUGAGCCCCUGGGCCUGGACCUCAGCCCAGCAUGUCCUGGGCCAUCAGGUCUGUGGUCACCGGGCCUGGUGCUAUGGCCAGGUGGCUGCCUUCUGUCCAGUGUCUAGGAAUCACUCAUGGUCCUCUCAGCAGCCUUUGCAUGUCCUGCGGCUGGUGUCCUUGACCUCGAUUCCUGUGCCGGUGCUUGGGUGGUCUGCUCCGGGCUGCUCUUCCUCUCUGGGGCCUCCUCCUGCUGCUCUGUGCUCCCCGCUGGGCCUGGGCCUGGGCCUGGGCUGGGGGUCCGGGCUGCCUGAGUGCCCCCAGGAAUGGGCACUGUGGGUUUCAGAGUCAGCAGGGCCGAGUGUGGGUCCCUGCCCCCCUUUCUUGGCCACUCGCUGCCCUGGAAUUGUGGCCCUGUCCUGUCCCCCAGUCCGUGCCCCUAGUUAACUCCCCUCCUCUGUGUGGUCCCUCCUGGAGAUCCUCUCCCUACUGGGCACUGCCUGGUGCUCUGGACACCCCCCCUGCAGUCUGAACAGGGCCCCCGCCGGGACCCCACUGGAAACAGGAUAGUGGUCUGUCUUGGCCAAGGGGGCAGUGUGCUCCCCGCUGGCCUGGGAGCUGCUUGGAGGUGCAGGCCGGGGGAGGGGCACAUCAGCAGGCCUAAGGGACACUGCUCUUUGCCAGGGGUGGUCUAGGUGAUGGGAUGGAGACCAUUGAGAAUGAGUGACAGUGACCUUCCUCAAAGCCAGGUGCACUCAGGCCUCGAGGCUGGCCUCCACCUGGCCUUGGGGAUCCUCCCUGGGCAGCAAGGCUUUUGUGCCCACUGAAGAGUAGGUAAGCCAAGGCCAGGAAGGGCAGAGGCAAGGCUGAGCUCCUGGCAGACUCGGGAGAGGGUCCCGGCGGCAGCCAUGCUCACCUGGCUUGGGGUGUAGGUCCCCAGGCUGUGUCUGAGGAUGAGUCACCCGCCCAUGCCUGGGGCCAAGUUGGCUGCACACCUCCUGGCCUGGGCUGGACCCCAGAAGCCGCUGCUUCUGCAGAACACGUUUGGGCUGCAGGGUCCCAAGGAGCUGUGUCCAGGGACUGGAGGUGGCCUCCACCUGGCCUUGACUGACCUUUUCUUCUCAGUGUACCUCCCUGGGAUUUCAUGCCCAGGGGAGAUGGCACGGGAAAAAUCAUCUCCUUGGCCUGUUCUGACUUUCCCACCCAAUGCUUGGCAGAAUGGGCUCUGCCCAGGCCUCAGGGCCCCUUGGUCAUUUACCUGAGAGACUGAAAACUCUGGCUUGUGCCCGAAGAAAAUGAGGGGUCACACUCUUCCUUGGAGAUGACCUCUGUGUCAGGUGGCCUGUGGGUUGGUCCUGGGCUCUCCCUACCCAGCACCCAGUGUUGGAUUCGUUCUUGGCUGAGUGGCAGGUCACUUAGGGGCCUCGGCUUCCUCACCAGUAAAAGGGAGAGUCACACCCACUCCAUGUGGUGAUGCCUGGGUUGGAAUAGCCCACACUGAGCUGGGCACCCAGGGCUACGCCGUAGGGGGCACGCGGCAUCACCAGACCCCAAUCCCUACUUGCCCACGGAAUUCUACACAGAACAGCUGACCGGCUCCAUGGCCAGAGAGCAGAAAUGGCCCAAGGAUGAAGGGUGAUGACCAUUCAGCAGGCGGCCUUGCUGGUCAGUGUCUGCAUGGGAGCUGACCACUGUCCAUGUGUGGUCUUGGCCACUGCAGAAUAAGUCAACCAGCCACGAGCACCACUGGGAGUCUCAUAAGAGAGCCGGUGCCCAGAGUGGGCUCUGCAGGGAGCUGACCCCACUGAUGGGACUGGCUGCCACCUCUUGUCUGAGGACAGGACACCAUGCACCCCUGAUCCAAUGGAACCAGAAGGAAACGCCGCCUCUUGUCCUCUGAGCCCACCACCUGGGCUAAAUGCACGGAACGCAGCAGACACUGCCUGACAGGAACGUUCUACAGAAUCCUGCGCCACGCACCCAACACGGCUGCGGUCACAAGGCACUGAAGUCUGAGAAGUUCCACAGCCAGGAGCCCCAGGGACACAGCAAGGAAAGCACCCCAAAGGAGUGUGCAGGUGAGGGCUAAGGAGACCCAGUAAAGGACGGACGUGGACUCACAGCCAUGUGUCGCUAGUGGUUGGCCGUGUCUCAUGAGUGCCCUGCCAGCCCAAGGUGGCACAAGGGGACCUGGGCUCUGGGGAUGCAGGAUCUUUCUGUGCUUGCUAUCUUCUCAGUUUUGCUGUG
rnacentral:lncRNA from 1 species